rnacentral:rRNA from 1 species
AUGAAACAGCGCCGAUGGCCUGGGAAUCCUGUUUGCUCUUUCUGUCAACAAGUGGAGACGUCUCAGCACCUGUUCUUCGAGUGCUCUGUUGCUAGGGUCGUGUGGCGUGCCAUUGGGGUCACCUUGGGCACUAACCUUUGUCCUCGCAAUUAUUGACAAUUUUUUGCUUGGUGUCAUGCUUUUCUGCCUGGACAUGAAUCUUUUUACACAGUAGCUUUAGGCGCUGUCACUUGGUCUAUCUGGCUGGCCCGGAACAAGGCCACUUUCGAAAAGAAGAUGAUCAAAACUCCCUUUGAGAUUAUAUUUACAGCUGUUUCUUUUCUGUUAUAUUGGGCAGGCCUGCAGACAGGGGAUGACAUGAAGAAACUUCGCGCUGGAGCAGAGAUGAUAUGCAACGGAACCAUGAUGCUGAUGAGGGUCUGCGACGCGUCGGCCAAGAUCGGAAAGUGA